rnacentral:rRNA from 1 species
UACGUAGGGGCAAGCGUUGUCCGGAUUUAUUGGGCGUAAAGAGCGUGUAGGCGGCCUUACAGGUCAGCUGUGAAACUCGAGGCUCAACCUCGAGACGUCGGUUGAAACCGUAUGGCUAGAGUCCGGAAGAGGAGAGUGGAAUUCCCGGUGUAGCGGUGAAAUGCGCAGAUAUCGGGAAGAACACCCGUGGCGAAGGCGGCUCUCUGGGACGGUACUGACGCUGAGACGCGAAAGCGUGGGAGCGAACAGG